UACGUAGGGUGCAAGCGUUAAUCGGAAUUACUGGGCGUAAAGCGUGCGCAGGCGGUGAUGCAAGACAGAGGUGAAAUCCCCGGGCUCAACCUGGGAACUGCCUUUGUGACUGCAUGACUAGAGUACGGUAGAGGGGAUGGAAUUCCGCGUGUAGCAGUGAAAUGCGUAGAUAUGCGGAGGAACACCGAUGGCGAAGGCAAUCCCCUGGACCUGUACUGACGCUCAUGCACGAAAGCGUGGGGAGCAAACAGG
rnacentral:rRNA from 1 species